AACACAUGCAAGUCGAGGGGCAGCAUAAAAGUAGCAAUACUUUGGUGGCGACCGGCGCACGGGUGAGUAACGCGUAUGCAACCUACCUAUCAGAGGGGGAUAAUCCGGCGAAAGUCGGACUAAUACCGCAUAAAACAGGGGCACCGCAUGGUGCUAUUUGUUAAAAAUUUAUUGCUGAUAGAUGGGCAUGCGUUCCAUUAGGUAGUUGGAGAGGUAACGGCUCACCAAGCCUACGAUGGAUAGGGGAACUGAGAGGUUGGUCCCCCACACUGGUACUGAGACACGGACCAGACUCCUACGGGAGGCAGCAGUGAGGAAUAUUGGUCAAUGGGCGGAAGCCUGAACCAGCCAAGUAGCGUGCAGGAUGACGGCCCUAUGGGUUGUAAACUGCUUUUAUACAGGAAUAAAGUUAGCCACGUGUGGUUAUUUGUAGGUACUGUAUGAAUAAGGACCGGCUAAUUCCGUGCCAGCAGCCGCGGUAAUACGGAAGGUCCAGGCGUUAUCCGGAUUUAUUGGGUUUAAAGGGAGCGUAGGCCGUCUGUUAAGCGUGUUGUGAAAUGUAGAUGCUCAACAUCUGAAUUGCAGCGCGAACUGGCAGACUUGAGUGUGCGCAACGUAGGCGGAAUUCGUGGUGUAGCGGUGAAAUGCUUAGAUAUCA
rnacentral:rRNA from 1 species